rnacentral:rRNA from 1 species
AGUGAACGCUGGCGGCAGGCCUAACACAUGCAAGUCGAACGGCAGCACCGUUAGUGCUUGCUCUUACGGGUGGCGCGUGGCGGACGGUUCCGUUUUCCAUCGGAUUCUACUUUUUCGCUGGGGAUAACGCAGGGUAACUUCCGCUAAUACCGCAUACGUCCUCCGGGUGAAAGCACGCGAUCUUCUGACCUUGUGCUAUUGUAUUAGCCGAUGUCGGCUUCGCUAGUUAGCGGGGUAAAGGGCCACCUAGGCGACGCUCCGUAGCUGGUAUGAGCGGAUGAACAGAUACAUGGGAACAGAGAAAGGGUCCAGACUCCUACAGGAGGAAGCAGUGGGGAAUAUUGGACAAUGGGGGAAAGCCUGAUCCAGCAAAACCGCGUGGGUGAAGAAGGAGUUCGGGUUGGAGAGCGAUGUUGUUGGGAAAGAAGAGAAGCAGGUUAAGACCCGGAGGUAAUGACGGUACCAAAAGAAUAAGCACCGGCUAACUUCGUG